GAAAUGCGAUAAGUAAUGUGAAUUGCAGAAUUCAGUGAAUCAUCGAAUCUUUGAACGCACAUUGCGCCCCUUGGUAUUCCGAGGGGCAUGCCUGUUCGAGCGUCAUUUCAACCCUCAAGCUCUGCUUGGUAUUGGGCGUCGCCGGCGUCGCCGGCGUGCCUUAAAGACAUCGGCGACGGUGUCCUGGCUUCAAGCGUGGUAAAUUAUCAUUCGCUUUGGAGGCUGGAGCGUCGUCUGCCGGCAAAACUGGGCUCGCGCCCACUUUCUCAGGUUGACCUCGGAUCAGGUAGGGAUACCCGCUGAACUUAA
rnacentral:misc_RNA from 1 species